GACGAACGCUGGCGGCGUGCUUAACACAUGCAAGUCGAACGGAAAGGCCCUGCUUUUGUGGGGUGCUCGAGUGGCGAACGGGUGAGUAACACGUGAGUAACCUGCCCUUGACUUUGGGAUAACUUCAGGAAACUGGGGCUAAUACCGGAUAGGAGCUCCUGCUGCAUGGUGGGGGUUGGAAAGUUUCGGCGGUUGGGGAUGGACUCGCGGCUUAUCAGCUUGUUGGUGGGGUAGUGGCUUAACAAGGCUUUGACGGGUAGCCGGCCUGAGAGGGUGACCGGCCACAUUGGGACUGAGAUACGGCCCAGACUCCUACGGGAGGCAGCAGUGGGGACUAUUGCACAAUGGGCGGAAGCCUGAUGCAGCAACGCCGCGUGCGGGAUGACGGCCUUCGGGUUGUAAACCGCUUUCGCCUGUGACGAAGCGUGAGUGACGGUAAUGGGUAAAGAAGCACCGGCUAACUACGUG
rnacentral:rRNA from 1 species